CACCCUUCCCUGCAUCUCAAAUAUGGAGUUGAAGUUCCAAGGGGCUGUAAGAAGGAGAGUCGCCUCACAGGAUAGAUGGGCAGCAUAAACAUUUAACAAAAGAAAUAAAAUAAAUAAAAAUGAAGGGGGGGGGAGAGGUAACUUAACUCUGUAACCCCUGCAGCUUCUUUCAGUCACAGUGCCUUUCAAAGGAUGUCUUGCCUAUUUGACACUUUGAGGUGUCCAGUAGCAGUAGUUCAAUCAAUCGAUCAAUCAACCAAUCAGAAUAGAGUUGGAAGGGACCUUGGCGGUCUUCUAAUCCAACCCCCUGCUUAAGCAAUCCAACCCCCUGCCCAAUACCAUUUCAGACAAGUGACUGUCUAGUCUCUUCUAAAAAACCUCUGGUGAUGAAGCACCCACAACUUCCAAAGAUGGCCAAUACCUUAUAGUGACCCCUUCCCACUUUUUUUUCCCUGCAGCCCUGGUUUGCUAGACAUUUGGUUAAGAGCAUCCUUGUCAGACUUCUGUGCUUGCAAUACUCAUAAAAGCCGACAAAGUUUUGCCUCUGGAAUUUUGAUUUUUUUUUUCAUACCUUAACCAUAAACUCCCUUAUAAAGCAAUUCAACUGGGAUUUGGAAAACAAAAUAUGUUUAUUUUUGCUGAGAGACAAAGAAUGAUAUGGUAAUGCCAAGUUACUGGAGAGCCACUAAGACCUGAAUUGAUGUACGAAGCGAAGGAUAAAGUUGAGAAGCCCAUGAAAAAUUCUGAAGUAUGCCAAUGCCAAGUUGAUAAUUUUGGAAGCAGGCAACAAAGCAAAUCUAUCAAUAUACUCUUAGCGUUCUUGGCAUAGAUCAGCUGGGUCAUGAGGAAUGAAGAAGCAUAUCAUACCAAUCCAAGAUUCUUGAGGAAGGCAUUUAUGACUCUUCAUCAGCAUGGACUGAGAUCAUGAUGGAAAAUGUCAUAUCUAUUCUCAGGUAGUAUGUAUGUAUGUAUGUAUGUAUGUAUGUUUGUUUGUUUGUUUGUUUGUUUUGUUUGGGUACGCUUAUAUUUAUGUAGGAUUAAGCGCAUUUGUAAUUGAAAGUUUAUGAAAAAGGACCUGUGGCUAUUACAUUUUGAUUUGGACCAACCCUUAAAUUAAAACUUCAUCUCAAGAUGGAAGGUCAAAUAUACUGGCAUCUGUCCAAUACAAACUUUAUGAUUCUAUGAAGGAGUCUACCCCACUUGAAUUUCUUAGUGUAGUAGAUACUGUGUCAUAUUUGAGGGGCUGCCACAGAGAGGAGAGGGUCAAGCUAUUUUCCAAAGCACUUGAAAGCCGGACAAGGAAUAAUGGAUGAAAACUGAACAAGGAGAGAUUCAACCUGGAAAUAAGGAGAAAUUUUCUCACAAUCAACAGCUUGCUUUCAGAAGUUGUGGGAGCUUCGUCACUGGAAGUUUUCAAGAAGACACUGGACUGCCAUCUGUCAGAAAUGAUGUAGGGUCUCCUGCUUGGGUGGGGGGUUGAGCUAGAUGGCCUACAAAGUCCCUUCCAACUCUGUUAAUCUGUUAUCUGUUAUUUAUCUUGUUUGACUGGAGCAAAGCAGUAUAUAUUCCAUUUAUCAUGAGUGAAUUAUUACAACUUAUCUUCAGAAAGAAUUGCAAAGAGAAGCAAGGAAAAAUAGAGAUGAGCUAAUUUCUGUUUCAUGAUAGUUACCUUUAAGGUGUAAGAAAGUACAACAAACAACUUAUAAGAAUGCAAAGUACUGCAUACUAUGCAAUGAUUUUCUAAUUUUUGGUUAUUUUAAAGAUUUUUUAAAUGGUUGGAGUGAGUGGUAUAAUGAUUUGCUCUAUAUGCUUCCACUUUAAGGAUAAAUAUGAUCCUUUGCAUAAAACAUUGUGCCACCUGUAGCAUGCCAUGCAUGUAGCAUGACAAAUCCAAAUUAUAAUUUGUCAGCAUUUCAGGGACAUCUACCGCUGAAAGACACAACUAUGAAAUCCUGGGGCUGGGAGGAAGACAACACUUAGCAUAUAAUUCUCAAUGUGCCUAAUCUUCAUACAAUUCUCACAAAGUAGGUUUGUGUCAAGAAUGUGUGUUUAUCGGCAAUUCCAAUUUUAUUUUUCAUUUGCUAGUUCAGUGUAACAUUUACUGUGCGUUAAGUGCUUCAUCACAUCAAUAAAAAAGCAAA